GCCAUGUGGCCAGCCCCAGGUUUGUUCCUUGGGAGUCUUCGUUCUUGAACCGACACCAGCCUAACAAGUCAAUAUUCAGUCUUUGACAUCUGCUGGUGAGGAGAGAUGCCACCUCCACCCAGACAGAGACCACGUGGUAGCUGGACAGUAUCAUAAAACAAGUGUGACUAAUACAGCAUUUGGAGGAGCCGCACAGAGCCGAAGCUCUGGAACAAAACAUUGGUCCCAUGACAAGGCAAGAAGAGGUGGCUGGCUCUAGCAUUCAAUGGCUGUCCAACUUCUUCUGAGCUCCCCAAGACUGAAACUCCCCCUUACGUCAGGGAACCAGCCAUGUUGAGGUGUUUCAGGGUGUCUUCAGUGGCAAAGAUGCCCCCCUUCCUGAUAAACACCAAGUUCAGCACCUCAAAGUGACUAUGUGAGCAUAUGCAUUCGCCCUUAAAAACCAGCAGAGGAUCUCACUGAGGUUUUAAUAGCCACAAACGUCUCUUAGCAUUUCCCUCCCUUAGGAAGACAAUAUCAGACUGCUGGCAUUGAUUUCUUAAAAUUAUACUGGCAAAAAGAUAAACAAAGCUCAAGAUAUAGAAAUACAUUUUACACUGAAAAAAAAAGGGGAAAAAGAAAGAAAAAACCACACUGAAACCAAAUCCUCAUAUUUCUUGGCUCACGGUAGCAGGCUGACUAGUUACCCAAAAUGAGCUUACUGCAAAAUCACUCUGUUCUCACCACAGGCACAAUUUACCAACUGGGUGCAACAGACACCGGGCUGGCUCCUGAACUUCUCUCCUCCAAUUAAGCUGCACAACCUGUUACCAUUUUGCCAAUGGACUCUAUUUACUUAGGUUCUGCAUAACUUGCCAAGUGCUCACUCUGUGGAAUUCCCAGCAAAGAGAAAGGAACAAUUGGGGGAAAUUUCUGUUAACAUCCUUUCUUUUAACUUUCCCUAGCAGAGGGGAAUGCAUCAACGUGGAGCAGAUGUGCUGAGACCAAAUGCUCUCUUCCUUAUGAUUACAGUUGGUUAUACCUGUGGAUAGGCGAGCUAAUUCUGCCACAAAUGUGCAAGAGAGGGUAGUACUAACGUACAAUGUGUGGUCCUGGAGGCUUUGUUCUCACGUAAUAGGGUGCUUCGUUUCACGAGACCUGGCACGUUGAGAAGAAAACAAGCAAAACAACCCCGUGCCGUUGGAAUCAUGAGCUAUCUCCGUGUGGCUUAGAGAGUGCCCGAGUUCUCGGCGAUGCUGACAUUAAUAUCAUGGAAUUUAUUAUUUGGAGUUGGAAAAUAAUGAUUCUUUCUGCUUAAUGUGCUCAGCGACUCUGCACCCGAUUGUUUUCUGCCAUUUGAGAAUGCCCGAGGAUGUCAUUAAAACUACGUGUAUCAAUAUUA